rnacentral:rRNA from 1 species
CCUGGCUCAGAUUAAACGCUGGCGGCAUGCCUUACACAUGCAAGUCGAACGGCAGCACGGGGCAACCUGGUGGCGAGUGGCGAACGGGUGAGUAAAGCAUCGGAACGUGCCCUGGAGUGGGGAUAACGUAGCGAAAGUUACGCUAAUACCGCAUAUUCUGUGAGCAGGAAAGCAGGGGAUCGCAAGACCUUGCGCUCUGGGAGCGGCCGAUGUCGGAUUAGCUAGUUGGUGGGGUAAAGGCCUACCAAGGCGACGAUCCGUAGCGGGUCUGAGAGGAUGAUCCGCCACACUGGGACUGAGACACGGCCCAGACUCCUACGGGAGGCAGCAGUGGGGAAUUUUGGACAAUGGGCGCAAGCCUGAUCCAGCCAUGCCGCGUGAGUGAAGAAGGCCUUCGGGUUGUAAAGCUCUUUCGGCCGGGAAGAAAUCGCAUGGGUCAAUACCCUGUGUGGAUGACGGUACCGGAAUAAGAAGCACCGGCUAACUACGUGCCAGCAGC